rnacentral:rRNA from 1 species
AUGAAAUGUUGUGUGAUUCUACACAACAUGAUCCUAGAGGAUGAGAGAGGGUUAAACCUCCCUUGUUUCUAUUUCUAUGACAAUGUUGGUACCCAUGUGCAACCGGAAAGAAACCCUUCUAUACACGCUUUUCUUCAAGCACAUCGUGAAAUUGAGGAUGCAACCACUCAUGGUCGGCUCCGGGAUGAUCUAGUAGAGCACCACUGGCAGUUGGAUGGGCGGCGGGCCCAUGAUGUAUCUUUGUUUUACUUUUCUAUGUCCUAUUUGAUUCGAACAAUUAUUGUAAUUUGCUCAAACAUUGUUGUAAUAAUUUGA